CGCAGUAUAUUUUUGUGUUUUG
ensembl:ncRNA